rnacentral:rRNA from 1 species
UACAAUGGCGGAAACAAGAGGGAUGCGAGCCGGUGACGGCAAGCGAACCCCAAAAACAACCGUCCCAGUUCGGACUGUAGUCUGCAACCCGACUACACGAAGCCGGAAUCGCUAGUAAUCGCGGAUCAGAAUGCCGCGGUGAAUACGUUCCCGGGUCUUGUACACACCGCCCGUCACACCAUGGGAGUCGGAAAUGCCCGAAGUCAGUGACCCAACCGGAAGGAAGGAGCUGCCGAAGGUGGAGCCGGUAACUGGGGUGAAGUCGUAACAAGGUACC